ACUCCUACGGGAGGCAGCAGUGGGGAAUUUUGCGCAAUGGGGGAAACCCUGACGCAGCAACGCCGCGUGAGUGAUGAAGGCUUUCGGGUCGUAAAGCUCUGUCAGAGGGGAAGAAAUGCAGUUGUGCUAAUAUCAUGAUUGCUUGACGGUACCCUCAAAGGAAGCACCGGCUAACUCCGUGCCAGCAGCCGCGGUAAUACGGAGGGUGCGAGCGUUGUUCGGAAUUAUUGGGCGUAAAGCGCGUGUAGGCGGUCUUUUAAGUCUGAUGUGAAAGCCCCGGGCUCAACCCGGGAAGUGCAUUGGAAACUGGGAGACUUGAAUACGGGAGAGGGUAGUGGAAUUCCUAGUGUAGGAGUGAAAUCCGUAGAUAUUAGGAGGAACACCGGUGGCGAAGGCGGCUACCUGGACCGAUAUUGACGCUGAGACGCGAAAGCGUGGGGAGCAAACAGGAUUAGAUACCCUGGUAGUCCACGCCGUAAACGAUGAGAACUAGGUGUCGCGGGUA
rnacentral:rRNA from 1 species